rnacentral:RNase_P_RNA from 1 species
GACGGUCGGAUAAACGCAGCCCGAAAGGGGUGAGGAAAGUCCGGGCAUCAUAAGGCAGGGUGCCGGCCAGUUACCGGUGAAGGCGACUUCAAGGAAAGUGCAACAGAAAUAAACCGCCCGCAAGGGUAAGGAUGGAAAGGCGAGGUAAGAGCUCACCGUUCCCCCGGCGACGGGGGAAGCCCUGUAAACCCCACCCGAUGCAAGAGAAAACGACGUUAUGCGGUCGCCUGCCGCGUCGGAAAAUCGCUUGAGACGUGCGGCAACGUACGCCCUAGACAGAUGUUUAUCCAAGACAGAACCCGGCUUACAGAUUGUCUCGC